CACUACCAUGUAAAAUUCAAUUUAUUUUCACUUUAAUAGAUUAGUUAGUAGCAGUUAGCCUCUCUUCCUCAUGUAUAAAUCACAUCUCUAUACUGAUACAAACAGAUUAAUAAUACAAACUAUUUCAGUCAUUCUUUCCAAUAUCUUUCAAUUCUAUAAAGUUACUAACAUGGUAUCAGUCGCCUGAGUUCCUGGAGGUCGUUCCGCUGCCGAUCCAUGGAUAAUUCUGCUAAUUCCACUGCUGACCACAGCAGUCCUGCAUUUUCCAGCUCUCGUUUGAUUCAAACCUUUCCUCGUAACGAUACGAUGAAGUUGGAUGAGGGGAACUUUGUUCAAUGGCAAUAGCAUGUUCCUUUAAUAAUCGAAGGUUAUAAACUAUUAGGAUAUUUAGAAAGGACGUUACCUGUUCCGCCAUAAUUCCUCUCUUCUCUAAAUGGAAUUUUAAAUCCGAAUCCUGAUGCAUCUCUCUUUGUUCAGCAAGAUAAGCUUCUUGUUUCUUGGCUCCUUUCUACAAUUAGUCCUCCAUUAUUAUCUUGUUUUACAGCCGCAAAAUUGGCGUGUGAUAUUUGGAACACAGCGAGUCAUCUCUUUACCGCUGCCACUGGAGCCAAGGUGUCAUGAAUCAAACAUGAGUUACACUCCAUCACAAAAGGGAUGAUCUCUAUUAAAGAGUAUGUGGCGAAGAUACAAAAUACCUAUGCCUUCUCGAAGUGUCUAGAUCUGUGGUUCCAAAGGCAGAAAAGGUGAAGAUCAUUCUUGUCGGACUCUCAUUGAAUUUUGGCGCUAUUCUCACUCUGGCCUCUUUCUCGUCUAACUCUUUUCCUCUACUACAACUUGUCGAUGUGCUUAUGGAAUUUGAGAGCCAUCAGGCUCAUGCGAUGACCGAUGCGUCCGUCCAUGCGCAUCUAGUAGAGGCCACUUCUUCGACACCGAUGGCGGAGCCCGUGCGUGGUGGCCAUCCACCAUCUUCUGUUCGUGGGUAAGGGUUUCGACCUCAGCUUCAAUGUCAGAUCUGUAGUAUAUAUGGUCAUGUGGUGCAAAAAUGCUAUUACAGGUUUGAUCAUGAUUAUGGUGGCUCACUCGCUCCGGCAAUGGCGUCAACGCCAUCUGGAUGUGCUGGUUAAAGAUCGCGCAAUAAUAUGUUUGGCGCACCUAGCUAGUAUUCAUCAACGAGUGGUGGUCAUGUCUUCUUUGGUAGUCUAGGACAGUAUACUAGUCUUUCGAUGGUGUACCCGACUAGUUUUCCAUUCGGCUCUACAUGGGACAAGAGGCAAC
rnacentral:lncRNA from 1 species